AAGCACCUGAAAGCAUUUUCAGAAGAAAUAUUGUGAAGAAAGAAGAAAGAAAGAGAGGGCAGAAAUACGGAAGGAAUGAAGCAAGACAAGAAAGAAAAGCACGGAAUAUGUUAAUAAACAGACAAAAGCCAACAAAUAAAUAAUAAACUAAUAAACCCUUCAAGGCUCUCUAUGCUGUAUGACUUGGAAAGGGAUUUUUGCAUAAAUCGUUCUCUACGCCAGGGGCUUCCAAAGCAUAGAACCGGC
rnacentral:lncRNA from 1 species